GGGGGUUUAGCUCAGCGGUGUAAGCACCUGCCUUGAAAGCAGGCAGUCCUGAGUUCGAUCCCCGGUACCAAUA
rfam:Cavia porcellus supercont2_10 genomic scaffold, whole genome shotgun sequence.